AAUGUUUUCAGUAAAGUCCCAAAUGUUUUUAUUACUAUACUCUGUAUGUGAGUUUUCAUGUGCAUUGAAAUAAUUUCCAUUAGAACUGCAGAUUUGCUCUUUGUACAUCUACUGGUGACAACUUAGGUUAUUAUUGACUUCUGACAGAGAACCGCUGCUUCUGACCGUGCUUCUGACCGACAUGUGAACUGGCCAGCCAUCGAUGAGAAUACUAUCCUGCUUCACGGACUGCUGCAGCCACAUCAUUACAGAGGGACUAAUUAAGUCUCCACUCACGACGCUUAAACAAACAGAGACGCAGCGUUUACACUUCACAGGGAAAAAAACUCUGGACAUUAAACUUGGACUGGAGAAAGAAUUUUAAACAGAAAAAAAAUACUUUCACUUUAAGCAAUGAAUGAACGGGUCUUUUCUGAAUCCACCCUGAGGAACACCAUGCCACUUUGGCACAACGCACUCUUUAAAGCAUGUGAAUUAUAAACUCGUUGAUGUAUAACAUUGAUGUCACAGUCUUUUAACGGCAAAUGUGUCAUAUGGUGUUAAACAAUACUUGUGGAAACUGCAAGUAAAUAAAAAGAUGUUGUGCAGGAA